rnacentral:rRNA from 1 species
CGGGAGGCAGCAGUGGGGGAUGUUGCACAAUGGAGGAAACUCUGAUGCAGCAACGCCGCGUGAGGGAAGACGGUCUUCGGAUUGUAAACCUAAGUAGUCAGGGACGAAAUAAAUGACGGUACCUGAAGAGUAAGCUCCGGCUAACUACGUGCCAGCAGCCGCGGUAAUACGUAGGGAGCGAGCGUUGUCCGGAUUUACUGGGUGUAAAGGGUGCGUGGGCGGGUUUGCAAGUCAGGCGUGAAAUACCGAGGCUUAACUUCGGAGCUGCGCUUGAAACUGUAGAUCUUGAGUGAAGUAGAGGUAAGCGGAAUUCCUAGUGUAGCGGUGAAAUGCGUAGAUAUUAGGAGGAACACCAGUGGCGAAGGCGGCUUACUGGGCUUUAACUGACGCUGAGGCACGAAAGUAUGGGGAGCAAACAGGAUUAGAUACCCUGGUA